rnacentral:rRNA from 1 species
CAGGUGCUGCAUGGCUGUCGUCAGCUCGUGUCGUGAGAUGUUCGGUUAAGUCCGCUAACGAGCGCAACCCUCGCUGUGUGUUAUAUGUGUCACACGGGACUGCCGGUCUUAAGCCGGAGGAAGGUGGGGAUGAUGUCAAGUCAGCAUGGCCUUUAUAUCCUGGGCUACACACACGCUACAAUGGCCAACACAAUAGGUUGCUAAGCCGCGAGGUGGCGCCAAUCCAUAAAGUUGGUCUCAGUUCAGAUUGUAGGCUGCAACCCGCCUGCAUGAAGAUGGAGUUGCUAGUAACCGCAGGUCAGCUAUACUGCGGUGAAUACGUUCCCGGGGCUU